UGUAUCUCGUUAGGUAGGCGGAGCUAGGUGAUCAAACUGUGAUUUGUUCUAGACAAGGGUAAGCGGGGAGCCCACGACGGGGAGCGUGAUUGCCAGUGCAGCUGGAGCAGAUCUGGAGGUGGUUUGGGAGAUCAAGCACACAGAGUUUUCAGAAUUAAUCCAUAUAACAGUCCAGUCCGUUAAUAAUUAAGUACUGACAGGCUGUAAUACAAUGUGCUAUACAGUAUAGAGUCAGGGUUUUCUCUAGCUAGACAACUCUCAACUUGUUUCCGAGCUGAUCUCAUUAAAUUGCCUUCUUCAAGAAUGUUUUCACUAUGACUGACAUAUGCAUGGUAUUUCUGGUAGUGAUACCAUGUACUUGUGCGGUAUUGCUAGUUAGCCUAGAUCAGUUGCAAGUAGCGCUCGAUUCCUUGGUUUGCAGGUACGUGAAGGCAACUAAUUAUAGUCUGGUUUAUUCACAA